rnacentral:rRNA from 1 species
CGUAGGGACCAAGCGUUGUUCGGAUUUACUGAGCGUAAAGGGCUCGUAGGCGGCGCGGUAAGUCACUUGUGAAAUCUCUGAGCUUAACUCAGAACGGCCAAGUGAUACUGCAGUGCUAGAGUGUGGAAGGGGCAAUCGGAAUUCUUGGUGUAGCGGUGAAAUGCGUAGAUAUCAAGAGGAACACCUGAGGUGAAGACGGGUUGCUGGGCCAACACUGACGCUGAGGCGCGAAAGCCAGGGGAGCAAACGGGAUUAGAUACCCCGGUAGUCCUGGCCCUAAACGAUGAAUACUUGGUGUCUGGAGUUUUAAUGCUCCGGGUGCCGUCGCUAACGUUUUUAGUAUUCCGCCUGGGGAGUACGCUCGCAAGAGUG